GAUGAACGCUGGCGGCGUGCCUAAUACAUGCAAGUCGAGCGAACAGACGAGGAGCUUGCUCCUUUGACGUUAGCGGCGGACGGGUGAGUAACACGUAGGUAACCUACCUAUAAGACUGGGAUAACUUCGGGAAACCGGAGCUAAUACCGGAUAAUAUUUCGAACCGCAUGGUUCGAUAGUGAAAGAGGGCUUUGCUAUCACUUAUAGAUGGACCUGCGCCGUAUUAGCUAGUUGGUAAGGUAACGGCUUACCAAGGCAACGAUACGUAGCCGACCUGAGAGGGUGAUCGGCCACACUGGAACUGAGACACGGUCCAGACUCCUACGGGAGGCAGCAGUAGGGAAUCUUCCGCAAUGGGCGAAAGCCUGACGGAGCAACGCCGCGUGAGUGAUGAAGGUCUUCGGAUCGUAAAACUCUGUUAUUAGGGAAGAACAAACGUGUAAGUAACUGUGCACGUCUUGACGGUACCUAAUCAGAAAGCCACGGCUAACUACGUG
rnacentral:rRNA from 1 species